rnacentral:rRNA from 1 species
GGAGUCUGGACCGUGUCUCAGUUCCAAUGUGACCGUUCAUCCUCUCAGACCGGUUACCGAUCGUCGGCUUUGUAAGCUCUUACCUUACCAACUACCUAAUCGGACGCAGGCUCCUCGCAAAGCGAUAAAUCUUUAGUAAGUUACUCAUGCGAAUUACUUACAACAUUCGGUAUUAGCAGUCCUUUCGAACUGUUGUCCCCAUCUUUGCGGCAGAUUACCUACGCGUUACUCACCCGUGCGCCACUAAAAACGAGAGCAAGCCCUCGUUUUUCGUUCGACUUGCAUGUGUUAGGCAUACCGCCAGCGUUCGUCCUGAGCCACUGAUCAAACUCU